UGGGGAAUAUUGCGCAAUGGGCGAAAGCCUGACGCAGCCACGCCGCGUGAGUGAUGAAGGCCCGAGGGUCGUAAAGCUCUGUCGGGAGGGAAGAAGUUCUGACGGUACCUCCCAAGAAAGCACCGGCUAACUCCGUGCCAGCAGCCGCGGUAAUACGGAGGGUGCAAGCGUUGCUCGGAAUCACUGGGCGUAAAGCGUACGCAGGCGGCUUUUCAAGUCGGGUGUGAAAGCCCGGGGCUCAACCCCGGAACUGCAUUCGAAACUGGAUGGCUUGAGUACGGGAGAGGGAAGCGGAAUUCCUGGUGUAGAGGUGAAAUUCGUAGAUAUCAGGAGGAACACCCGUGGCGAAAGCGGCUUCCUGGCCCGAUACUGACGCUCAUGUACGAAAGCGUGGGGAGCAAACAGGAUUAGAUACCCCCGUAGUCC
rnacentral:rRNA from 1 species